UUUUUUUAGUUACAGUAUGAUAUGGUGAACAAAAUGCCUCAAUGCAGCCAGUUCUGGAGCUUUGGCUAGACUAUGAACAGUAGACAUCAAAAGAUGAUCAUCUGAAGGGCCACAAUUGUUUAAAGCACUGGUCAACAAAAACUGAACUAUUUGAUGGAUCAUACAUCUGCAGAAUGUACUACCAUAUUUCCAGAAUCAGAGAAAUAGAAAUAUCAAGUAUUAGAGAGAAAGAAAAGUAUGCAUCAUGUAUGAAGAACUGCCUAAGAAUAAUUUGCAAAAUACAUUGAAAUCUAACAAUUGCUAAUUGCAUAAGGAAGUUAAGAAAGGUGUACUCUUCUGGAAAAUAUGUGUCCAGUGCAACAUUUCUUUUCCAAUUUUGUGAGCAUAAUU